UACGAAGGGGGCUAGCGUUGUUCGGAUUUACUGGGCGUAAAGCGCACGUAGGCGGAUCGAUCAGUCAGGGGUGAAAUCCCAGAGCUCAACUCUGGAACUGCCUUUGAUACUGGGUGUCUUGAGUAUGGAAGAGGUGAGUGGAAUUCCGAGUGUAGAGGUGAAAUUCGUAGAUAUUCGGAGGAACACCAGUGGCGAAGGCGGCUCACUGGUCCAUUACUGACGCUGAGGUGCGAAAGCGUGGGGAGCAAACAGG
rnacentral:rRNA from 1 species